rnacentral:rRNA from 1 species
UACGUAGGGGGCGAGCGUUGUCCGGAAUGACUGGGCGUAAAGGGCGUGUAGGCGGCCUGUUAAGUCUGGAGUGAAAGUCCUGCUUUCAAGGUGGGAAUUGCUUUGGAGACUGGCGGGCUUGAGUGAGGAAGAGGUAAGUGGAAUUCCCAGUGUAGCGGUGAAAUGCGUAGAGAUUGGGAGGAACACCAGUGGCGAAGGCGACUUACUGGGCCGUAACUGACGCUGAGGCGCGAAAGCGUGGGGAGCGAACAGGAUUAGAUACCCUGGUAGUCCCUGA